AAUGAAGACGCAUCAAAAUCAAAUAAAAUCCAAACCACAUCAUAUCUUAUUUUACAGGCCAUCGACUUGCUACCCACAAAACUGGCAACACCGUACCAAGCUUCAAAUUUUAUCCCCAAAUUCAAUAAUUGGCAACACCAACCAACCAAUAUGAAAUUGAGAGAGAAUGGUGAUGAGAAAACAGCUUUCAUAAUUACGUCCGUAGAUAAUUUUGGAUUUUCUUAUUACUUUUAUUGGAUUUUGUUGUUCUCUCUCUGUGUGGAAGUUUCAAUGUAAUUAAUGGUUUUGUAGUAUUUUGAGUCAAGAUUGGUGAAUUGCCUUCUCUUUUAAUUGAUCAACUAUGAAAGAUUGUGAUAAGAUUUUGAGGUUCAUACUAUACUAGAGAGUCACUAUCAAGGGUAGACUAGAGUGUUCCAGUUCAAUACAAACAUGGUAAACAUUACUCUCUCUUUCUUUCUCUCUCUGGUUUUUUGUAUGAAAAAUAUUUAGGGUGAUGGAAUGAUGUUUCAGUUCAAGAUCUAUUUUUUACUACCAAAUCAAACCUUGAAGUUAGUUUUAGUGGCUUUUUAAUUAACUGUGAAUGAAACGGUUGAUAUACUAGUAUAUACCGGGAAUAAAGUCAGCAGAAACUAGAGAAUGGUGUUUCCAGAUCUAUAUCUAGUUUUUAUAUGUUUUAAAGUUAAGUGCAUAAGUAGUAGUAGUAAGGAUUGAGAAAUAUGUAUAUUUAAUUGAAUGUGUAGAUAGAUAGAUAUAUGAAACAAGAUGAUGUUCCAACAAUAUAUGACACAUUUUUGAGCUUCUGGACUGAAUUGGCCAAAUAAUAAUGAAACCAACCACCCAACUCUCACUCUAGUAAGAACACUUAGCUUGGAUAGCAAGUGUUUUCACUAUACCUGGGCAACCAUCUACACCAUUUCCGUUCAAAUUUGAACCACUCACACUAACCAUACAUUCUUUUUUCCCCAAGCAUUCCUUCUCAACAAUGCUCUUCGUAGGACCAGCAUUACAAUUGCCAAGACUAAACUUUCCACAGUAACCAGAAGGGUCACCGAAGCUUGCAAACUCCACAGCUACAAUCUUUUUACCGCUUGGACAUUUGAGUGAAGCUUGUGGUCCAG
rnacentral:lncRNA from 1 species